rnacentral:rRNA from 1 species
AGCCCAGCUUGCUGGGUGGAUCAGUGGCGAACGGGUGAGUAACACGUGAGCAACCUGCCCCGGACUCUGGGAUAAGCGCUGGAAACGGCGUCUAAUACUGGAUACGAGCUGCAACCGCAUGGUUAGCAGUUGGAAAGAAUUUCGGUCUGGGAUGGGCUCGCGGCCUAUCAGCUUGUUGGUGAGGUAAUGGCUCACCAAGGCGUCGACGGGUAGCCGGCCUGAGAGGGUGACCGGCCACACUGGGACUGAGACACGGCCCAGACUCCUACGGGAGGCAGCAGUGGGGAAUAUUGCACAAUGGGCGGAAGCCUGAUGCAGCAACGCCGCGUGAGGGACGACGGCCUUCGGGUUGUAAACCUCUUUUAGCAAGGAAGAAGCGAAAGUGACGGUACUUGCAGAAAAAGCGCCGGCUAACUACGUGCCAGCAGCCGCGGUAAUACGUAGGGCGCAAGCGUUAUCCGGAAUUAUUGGGCGUAAAGAGCUCGUAGGCGGUUUGUCGCGUCUGCUGUGAAAUCCCGAGGCUCAACCUCGGGUCUGCAGUGGGUACGGGCAGACUAGAGUGCGGUAGGGGAGAUUGGAAUUCCUGGUGUAGCGGUGGAAUGCGCAGAUAUCAGGAGGAACACCGAUGGCGAAGGCAGAUCUCUGGGCCGUAACUGACGCUGAGGAGCGAAAGGGUGGGGAGCAAACAGGCUUAGAUACCCUGGUAGUCCACCCCGUAAACGUUGGGAACUAGUUGUGGGGUCCAUUCCACGGAUUCCGUGACGCAGCUAACGCAUUAAGUUCCCCGCCUGGGGAGUACGGCCGCAAGGCUAAAACUCAAAGGAAUUGACGGGGACCCGCACAAGCGGCGGAGCAUGCGGAUUAAUUCGAUGCAACGCGAAGAACCUUACCAAGGCUUGACAUACACGAGAACGCUGCAGAAAUGUAGAACUCUUUGGACACUCGUGAACAGGUGGUGCAUGGUUGUCGUCAGCUCGUGUCGUGAGAUGUUGGGUUAAGNCCCGCAACGAGCGCAACCCUCGUUCUAUGUUGCCAGCACGUAAUGGUGGGGAACUCAUGGGGAUACUGGCCGGGGUCAACUCCGGAGG